rnacentral:rRNA from 1 species
GACGAACGCUGGCGGCGUGCUUAACACAUGCAAGUCGAACGGAAAGGCCCUGCUUGCAGGGUACUCGAGUGGCGAACGGGUGAGUAACACGUGGGUGAUCUGCCCUGCACUUCGGGAUAAGCCUGGGAAACUGGGUCUAAUACCGGAUAGGAGCCAUUUUUAGUGUGAUGGUUGGAAAGUUUUUUCGGUGUAGGAUGAGCUCGCGGCCUAUCAGCUUGUUGGUGGGGUAAUGGCCUACCAAGGCGGCGACGGGUAGCCGGCCUGAGAGGGUGGACGGCCACAUUGGGACUGAGAUACGGCCCAGACGCCGACGGGAGGCAGCAGUGGGGAAUAUUGCACAAUGGGCGCAAGCCUGAUGCAGCGACGCCGCGGGGGGGAUGACGGCCUUCGGGUUGAAAACUCCUUUCGCUAGGGACGAAGCUUUUUGUGACGGUACCUAGAGAAGAAGCACCGGCUAACUACGUG